UUUAAAUACAGCGUCUGCAGCUCUGGCUCUUUCCCCAGCGCGUUUCUCUUCCAGCUCGAUCUCUGGUGGAGAAUUUAGCCCGGGUUGAGGGGGCCAGGAUUUGGAACCAUAUACUGGGGUCCAAGGUGCUUGGCCUCUUGGAGAUGGCUGUGAGGACGCGGAUUUCCCCAAGGGCCAGCAGACUUCAGACAGAAGAAGAUGAAGGUCUCAGAAGUCAAAGGUCAAGACUUGCUGAAGCACUGGAUGGUUGGCGAUGCUCUGCAGCCGGCUGGGGAGCAGUGCUGAGGAGAGGACUUCAGGUCUGACGGGACCGCACUCCUGCCUAUGGGCAGCCCUGGGCCGGGUAGCACGCAUCAGGGAGCACAGGGCAUCCAUAUUUGACCCUUCCGGAAGCCUCCUAGACCGCUGAGGAGAAGCAGAGCUUCCUUUCCAGAAACCCCUGUCACUUUGUCCGGCUGUGAUUCCUAGCCUCGCCCUCUAGUUCCUGGUGUCUUCAGAUCUCUGCUUUGGAGUGGGUUUCUUCCCUCGUUGGACACCAACCUGGGCGGACACCAUGUGAGACCACGUUGUGCCUGCCCAGGUCCGCGCAGUGUGCCAGCACAGUGGGAUACACGCAAUCCGGCGUCCCCUCAGCAACCAGGCUGCCUGCCCCGUGGGAUACACGCAAUCCGGCGUCCCCUCAGCAACCAGGCUGCCUGCUCCCAGUAAUAGCAGCGCAGUUCUGGGCUGAGGAGCCACGGGGUUAGAGCUGGGGUCUGGGGACUGCCGGUGGGUGCUAGGGGCAGGGGUGCCUCAUCCCCUGCUUGUCACCUCACGCAGUUCUCGGCAGCAUCGGAGGGCUCUGGGUGCACGGCCUCCUUGCUCCCCUGUUUUCCUGCCCACAGACCUGGGGCAGGCCUAGAAACUCAGUUUCCUCGUCUGUAGUUGAGGCCAGGACCAGCUGGACCGCCCAUCAGUCGGGUGGGUGAGUCAAGGAUGAAGGCUGUGGGAGACUCCCUGCUAUGCUGCUGGAGGAUGAGGGAACUCCUUGGGUACCAAGCGUCGAAGGAGGCCCUUCAUCUUUGUAGUGCUCAAGUCAGUCAGUCCUUGGGUUUGGGCAGCCCUGGGAUAAGGAGGCUGAAUGUAGAGGUUGACCUUGAACGAUGGAAGGCAGCAUUUGUAUGACCUGCUUUGUCUCCCAAACAAAGAUGAGAACUGUCAGAGACACCCCCACACCCAACCCCAACACCCCCCACAACUUCUUUUCCUCCAUAGCCAGUGACAACUGCACACUGGUGACACUUACUUUCCUUAGGCUCCAAACACCUGUGUAUUUAUCUGCUCGUAGGCCAUGAUGCCCCAGAACAGGCAGAGCUCUGGGUCACACCUUACAGUCUCAAGGAGAGAAGGGCACCUUCGUGUGCAGCCUUCUGCUCGAGUGGAGGCAUGCACAGAUCACCUUUGGUGACACAUGGGGGUCCCUAAGUUCUUUGCUUCUGUGUUCCUGUCCUAAACUGGUGGCCAGCUGGUUCCUGUAAACUAUAGCCGUGGCUCAGACUCUUUUGCAGCUAUGGGUCGCCAAAGCAAGCUGUAAAUUCAUUCUUGACCCUUGGACUCUAGGGCCUGGUGGCCUUGCAGUGGCUUGGGGGACUGCAGAAAGCCCCUGGGGAAUCCAGGAAGGAGUUCCUUGGCAGAUCUUCACGGCCUUGCCAAGCCCUGUGGGGAAAGAUCAGCUGCAAAGUUCCAUGAAGGCCACACCAGGUGCUGAGCUGGUCCAGUCUGACUUGGAAGCGGUUGGGGCCAGGGCUGUUUAGGGUUGGCAGUUCACUCUUUGACUCUUUGCUAGGCCUUGUGACGGCUAGUGUACUCUCGGAAGCCAGUGCCUCUCCGCUCACCCUGGGCUGUGCUGGUGUGAAGGCAGGACGCAGGGCGGAGGAGGAACGUAGGGGUAUCUCCCUUCCACACUCCAGGACAGCCUCAUGAAGGGCCUCUGCUGGCCCUGCAGCAUGGGCCGGGCUGGCAGGGAGGCCUGAGACUGUCGCCCAAGCAGGGACAGGGCAGCUGCAAAUGCAGCACAGACUUGAGCAUUCAAUCUUACCCAGAGCCAAGAAACCCUGGCUAAAGCUGGGCUACAGUGAGGAAAAGCAAGGGCACUGCUUGAAACCAAGCAAGCCCCCUGGAAAUGUUGGAUUCCUGACAGACAAGGAGCCAAGCCAAGGGCUUUUUUUCCUGCUGGCCCAAACACAAAAGUCAAGGACGCUGGGGAGGUGGGAGACUGGCCUGAGAGGUUCUCUGUUAGUAGAAGAGAGCUCUCUCAAAGCCAGAAAAUGCUCACCCAGCUCAGCCCCCAGAGCUUCGCAUACCACAAGUGUGGGGGAGGGGGGCACUUGGCUUCACAUACUUCAAGGCCACACUGUCCUGGCCAAGGCUCCAGUGAGGGGGCUCUGGCUGUGGUGUCUCCAACAGUCCAGAGGCCUGCCUGCAAGGCCCAGCUUCCAUCUGAGGUAAGGUAGAGAAAGUGAGCGUUGGUGUGCACCUUUGAUGAGCUCCCCCUGGGUCCCCCACGGACUUCCCUGCUAUGACGGACCCUGACCUGGAAUGUGAGCCACACGGUAUAAAAGAACUGAAGAAUGCCCACGGUGAACCAACCUCUUCCUUUACGCAGCCAGGGACCGGUGCUGCAGACUUUUAGGGUGGACUCUCCUCGGGAGGGCGGGAACCACCUUCAAAUGUCUACUCUAUCUUGGGCUUUUGAUAUAAUGACCCUGUUCAGGAAAAAAAAUCACUAGGAUGGGCAUGUA